UACGGAGGGUGCAAGCGUUAAUCGGAAUUACUGGGCGUAAAGCGCACGCAGGCGGUUGGAUAAGUUAGAUGUGAAAGCCCCGGGCUCAACCUGGGAAUUGCAUUUAAAACUGUCCAGCUAGAGUCUUGUAGAGGGGGGUAGAAUUCCAGGUGUAGCGGUGAAAUGCGUAGAGAUCUGGAGGAAUACCGGUGGCGAAGGCGGCCCCCUGGACAAAGACUGACGCUCAGGUGAGAAAGCGUGGGGAGCAAACAGG
rnacentral:rRNA from 1 species